AGUGAACGCUGGCGGUAGGCCUAACACAUGCAAGUCGAACGGCAGCACAGGAGAGCUUGCUCUCUGGGUGGCGAGUGGCGGACGGGUGAGGAAUACAUCGGAAUCUACUCUGUCGUGGGGGAUAACGUAGGGAAACUUACGCUAAUACCGCAUACGACCUACGGGUGAAAGCAGGGGACCUUCGGGCCUUGCGCGAUUGAAUGAGCCGAUGUCGGAUUAGCUAGUUGGCGGGGUAAAGGCCCACCAAGGCGACGGUCCGUAGCUGGUCUGAGAGGAUGAUUAGCCACACUGGAACUGAGACACGGUCCAGACUCCUACGGGAGGCAUCAGUGGGGAAUAUUGGACAAUGGGCGCAAGCCAGAUCCAGCCAUACCGCGUGGGUGAAGAAGGCCUUCGGGUUGUAAAGCCCUUUUGUUGGGAAAGAAAUCCAGCUGGCUAAUACCCGGUUGGGAUGACGGUACCCAAAGAAUAAGCACCGGCUAACUUCGUGCCAGCAGCCGCCGCAGUAA
rnacentral:rRNA from 1 species